rnacentral:rRNA from 1 species
GAUGAACGCUGGCGGCGUGCUUAACACAUGCAAGUCGAACGGUGAACACGGAGCUUGCUCUGUGGGAUCAGUGGCGAACGGGUGAGUAACACGUGAGCAACCUGCCCCUGACUCUGGGAUAAGCGCUGGAAACGGCGUCUAAUACUGGAUACGAACCACGAAGGCAUCUUCAGUGGUUGGAAAGAUUUAUUGGUUGGGGA